rnacentral:rRNA from 1 species
UCGAGAAUCUUUCACAAUGGGGGCAACCCUGAUGGAGCGACGCCGCGUGGAGGAUAAGGUCUUCGGAUUGUAAACUCCUGUCCUGCGAGAACAAGGUUGCAGGGUUAAUACCCGUGCAAAUUGAUGGUACCGCAAGAGGAAGAGACGGCUAACUCUGUGCCAGCAGCCGCGGUAAUACAGAGGUCUCAAGCGUUGUUCGGAAUCACUGGGCGUAAAGGGUGCGUAGGUGGCGUGGUAAGUCAGAUGUGAAAGCCCGGGGCUCAACCUCGGAACUGCAUCCGAUACUACCAUGCUAGAGUACUGAAGAGGUGACUAGAAUUCUCGGUGUAGCAGUGAAAUGCGUAGAUAUCGAGAGGAAUACCAAAGGCGAAGGCAGGUCACUGGGCAGUUACUGACACUGAGGCACGAAGGCUAGGGGAGCAAACGG